UACGGGGGGGGCAAGCGUUGUUCGGAAUUACUGGGAGUAAAGGGCGCGUAGGCGGUUCGCUAAGUUGAAUGUGAAAACUCUGGGCUUAACCCAGAGCCUGCAUUCAAUACUGGCGGGCUAGAGUUCUGGAGGGGAUAGCGGAAUUCCUGGUGUAGCGGUGAAAUGCGUAGAUAUCAGGAGGAACACCGGUGGCGAAGGCGGCUAUCUGGACAGAGUCUGACGCUGGGGCGCGAAAGCUAGGGGAGCAAACAGG
rnacentral:rRNA from 1 species